rnacentral:lncRNA from 1 species
AUGCACAUCGAGAUACACAUGCACACACACAGACACUGGUCUCCACAUACACACACAUGGGGGGAUAAUGCAGACACAGCCUACACACACACACACACACACACACACACACAUAGAGACACCCUGGGACACACAGAGGCACAGACCCCCAACAUGGAGAUGCACGUGCACAUGCGUGCCCACAUGCAAUACAUGGAGAUACACAUGCACACACACAGAGACCCAGGCCCCACUCAUCCACAUGCAUAUGGAGACAUUGGGACACACACAGAGGCACAGACCCCCCAACAAACAGAUGCACAUGGAGACACACAUACACACACAUACAGUCAUGAGCUCACAUACAAGAACAUGGAGACACACAUGCAAACACGGGCCCCAUGCACACACAUGCACAUGGAGAUACACAGGCAGACAUGGGCCAUACACACACACACACGUAGACACACCCAGAUAAGGGCUUCCACCCACACACAGGCACAUGGAGACACCUAUACACACCCACAGGGGCAUUGGCCACACACACACACACACACACACACAUGCACAGCUGAGAAGCAGCCCGUUUACUGUCUGUCCCAGGUCACUGUUGUCCAGGAGCAACAUUGUGGGGAGGGAGGGGACUCUGCAGGCAGGACACCUGUGAAGGCCAGAGCAGAGCAGCCUGGACCUGAGUGCCCCAUGCCUGCUGCCUGCAGCUGCCAGGCCUGCCCCUGGACAGGAGGGGGCAGAGGCAAGGGUGGUGCCUGGAACCAAGGCAGGGCCACAGCCCCAGAGAGGAGUGGAGUGGGACAGCACAGACCUAGGAGCUCAGAGCUCAGCUGCCUACUGGGAACGGGGAGGAGAGGAGAGUCAUUCUCUUCCCCAUGGGUGGCCCAGGCUGGAGACGGGGCCCACCAGCAGCAUGGCACAUCCUGGGAUGUCAGCAUAGAGCCCGGAGACCAGCUGGGCACUGAAGCCCCUGCCCCACAGCCUGGGCAGAAUGAGCAGGGGGACACCAGGGUGAGCCAGGGCUGUCAGUGGAGUCUUAGCCCAGCAUGA